AUUUUUCUAUAUAUACUCAGCCAGUCGGAGUCAAGCAGAGCUGAAGAAAUUUAUUCACAAAGAAAAUAUUCCAGUAACGUUCCUGGUUGAUGUUUAACACGCAGCUUAUACCAGUCUCUUGUUGUAGAUUGACAACAAGCUGCUUUUUCUAGAAGGAGGAUUGCUUGGGAAACCUUCAGAUGAAAAUGAAAAGAAAACGUCACCAUGGCCAGAGGAGGAGGAAGCGACAGCAACAACAACGGCGUCGACAGCAGCAGCAGGAACGACAGGAGCAGCAACAAGAGCAGCAGCGGCUGCGGCAGCAGCAGCAGCAGGAGCAGGAGCAGCAGCAGCAGCAGCAGGGGCAACAGCGGCAGCAGCAGCAGGGGCAGCAGCGGCAGCAGCAGCAGCAGCAGCAGCAGCAGCAGCAGCAGCAGUGCCAGCAGCAGCAGCAGCAGCAGUGCCAGCAGCAGCAGCAGCAGCAGCAGCAGUGCCAGCAGCAGCAGCAGCAGCAGUGCCAGCAGUGCCAGCAACUGCAGCAGCAGCAGCAGGAGCAGCAGCAGCAGCAACGUAGGAGGAGAAACAACAGGAGGAGCAGGAGGAGCAGGAAGAGUAAGAAGAGCAAGAGGAACAGGAAGACCAGAAACACCAGGAGGAGGAGGAGAAGAAAUAAUGAGUGAUUCUUCUUUGGAGAAAUUUGUACUCAAAGAAUUACUCAUGUAGAGUCUCACUGUGCUGUCAUCUGAGACUUCAAGUUCAUUACUGAACCCAUGCUUCCUCUCAGCUUCAUGAGAAGAUCACUACAGAUACAGAUCACCACUUUUAGCUAGUGAUAUUCCUCUCUCCCUGCCAAUAAAAUUUCAUCCACCUUUGGUUGUGUACAAGGUAAUAAUCUCUGUGUCUGUCUCACCAUCCCAAGAAU
rnacentral:lncRNA from 1 species